CAGCUAUGUCCCCACGGCCUUCGCUGCCCACCUGCUGUCCUGAAGCAGACGUACACUCUGGCACCUGCCUCUGCUGGGAGGAAACCGCAGGAUCCGGCCACACCGCACAGGCCGGGACUCCUCAGAGGCCACCAUCAGGUCGGGGCUCCUGGGGCCCUGCCACCUGCCGAGCGACGCACGGUGACACACAUCCAGUGGGGAAGCUGGCAGCUGCUCCCUCUCUGGUCUCGGGUCCAUGGCCUCUGUCGUCACCCAAGACGUGGUCAGCAUUUUGCUCCCAGAAUUAUCUGACGCCUUCCACCGUCGGGGUGGUGGUGUGCAGAACUCACAGCCCCCCACUAAGAUUCUUUUUUUUUUCUAAAGAUUUUAAGUAAUCUCUGCACCCAGUGUGGGGCUUGAACUCACAACCCUGAGAUCAACAGUCAUGUACUGAAAAAAAAAGAGAGAGUCAUGUGCUUCACAGACAGAGCCAGCCAGGCGCCCCCAAGUCCCUCCAAGAUUCUUGUCCCUGUUGCUGAGCUGGCACUUACUCAGGUGCUGCUGUGCAGGGAUUUGCAGAUGAGCAGCCGAGGCCCUUGGAUCCCGGGUGUGGGCAAGCGGGGCAGGAGGGCAGGGAGACUGAGGCCUGAGGAGGACUUGCUCAGGAGAGGGAAUGGGGGUCCUGUAGGGCAGAGAGGGCGUGCCAGCUGGGCCCCCACCUACGACAAGCCCUCAGCCCCACAAGAAUUCUGCGCCGGGUUGGAGGAUCCCCGGGGCCCUGGCGGGGAGCCCAGCCUGGCCGGCACCUCGACUGCAGUCUGUAGGGACAGGCCUCCCAGGCCUCCGAGGGGCUGAUGGUGCGGCAGCUCCAGGGGUUGGGUGGGUGGCAGUGCGCAGGCAGCCGUGGGUGGCCCCCAAGCGGCCUCACGGGCGCAGCCAGCGGGGUCUCCAGGGCACUGGCGGCAGGCGGGGGGCAGUGUCCUCUGCCGAGGGGACCGCAGGACCACACUCCCUGCGAAUCCUCACACUCGUGUCUGCAAUGGCCGUUCAGGUUCUGGCCUCUUCCUGCCGACCGGGCCCAGGGGUCACGGCAUUCCUGGGUGAGGGCUGUGACUUCCCGCAAACCCGAGAGUCUCCCACGUUGUGGCAGUGCAAAGACAGAAGUCCCAGCCGCAUGUGAAGGGGAUGCUUCAGGAGAAAGAAGACUUUCCCCCGAGCGGAGAAACGGACUUCUCCUCGUUAUCCCAGCUGCUCCCGAAGCCCUGGCUCCUUCCUGGGCCUUCCCUGCGCAGCCGAAGGAUGAGCCCCGUUUCCUAGCACCUCACCCCGCAGGCCCUGCUGCCCACCCCCACCCACCACCACCCCCCAGUCCCCGGGGUCCAGGCCCACCCUCUUCUCAAGGCUUUCACGGUCUCACGUGGAGGGCGGGGAGACAGGUGCCCUGGCACCCGAGCCCCAGGUUUGCCUUGGCUCCUUCCUCUCACCCCAGAGUCACAGUCCUUAGAAAGAAAGCAGCGUGGCUCCCGCACAAGUGAUGCACAGGGAGCUGCGACCGCCCAGCCGGGUGCCCCCGCGGCCCCUCCUCCGACACCGCACACGCCCUGGGAGCCACGUGUAGGGAGAAAGCCCCCAGUGUGCACGAGGCCAUCGCUUCCCGAAGAGGUGUUGCCAUCAUAAGACACGCUCCUCCUCAACUCCCAGGAAUCACUUGGGAGAUGCUGGGGUUUGCCAGGGGCCGCGCCCUGUGAACCCUGGUAUAUUUGUGAUGAGCCUACGCAGGCCAAGGUGAGAGCACCUCUUUCUCUGUCCCCAGGAGAUACCAACUGGUUACAAGUUGACGAGGAAAUGUGCCUGGUACCUUUGCCAUUCUCCUUAUUUUUCUCUCUCCAAGGGCAUCCCCGGGGGAGGCAGGAGGAGCUGUGUCAGCUGCUGCCCUGUCCUUUCCAGGUGCAUGUGAGUGUGUGUGUCGUGGUUGCAUGUGUGUGACUGUGUGCUGGUGACAGUGAGUUUGUGCCUGUGUGUGUGUCUGUACACCCACAUACGGUAUCCUUUUUUUUUUUUUUAAGAUUUUAUGUAUUUAUUCAUGAGACACAGAGAGAGGCAGAGACCCAGGCAGAGGGAGAAGCAGGCUUCCUGCGGGGAGUCCGAGGCAGGACUCGAUCUCAGGACCCAGGGUCACGCCCUGAGCCAAAGGCAGAUGCUGGAUCGCUGAGCCCCCCGGGGCCCCGUACUGUAUUUCUCACAUGGGUCGUGGCCGUGGACUGUCCACUCACUGGCUUACAGGACCGAACUCAACUCAUUUUCCUGAAGGGACUUCCGGAUCAACCCAGGUCGCCGAGGCGGGUGCAGCGUGACAUCACUGUUGCCAACUGCCAGUCCAUAGGGUAAACAAGCACAGAAGACGCAGUGGACCUCUGGUCGCUCAGAUGGGCCACCCGUGAUGUCACGAGGCCUGUGCUGUGUGGGUCAGGACGGAGCCCUGCCUCUUGGCACCGUCUCCUCAGUGAGGACCCUGGGUUGGAACUUGGCCACCUGGGGACCUCGCUCGGCUUCACUGACAGGUGGGAGGAGGGUGCACCUGCCCUGUUUUCUCACAUUGGACUCCGGUGGCCGUCCCCAGCAUUCCCGCAAAGGGCCCACGAGGGCCUUGUGUUCGCCCCUCCAUCACGCAUGAAUGUCACACCUUUGGCUGCUUCCCCCGUCCGUGUCUCCCUCCAAGGCCUGGAGUGUCUGACAACCCGCUUCCGCGGCCCUCCACGCUGGGUCUGCACCAGAGGUGUUGGGGGCCUGGCCCUCCACCGCCCCACCUCGGGAGCCCCGCGCAUGGCAGCUCCUGCGAACCCUGCCCCAGCUCUGCCUCUGCUUCCCAAUCCAUCGAACUUCUCUCUCCGAGUCCUUUCAGCUCUCUGGGGAUGAAACAAAGAAUAAACUUAGGUACGGAUGGAUCCCAGGGUUGAUUCGACACCCAGGCAGUGGUGAGCACGCUCGAGCGCCGUGGGAAGGUCCCAAACGCUCCCGCGCCACGGGCACAGCCUCGACAUGUCACCAGCUUCCGGGGCUCGGGGGCCGUCGAUGUCUUCCCCGGACUCUCGAGGAACGCAGUUUAGUCUUCCAACUUCCUGUCUCACAAAUGACAGGGUCGGUGUCUCUUCCUCACCCCCUGCCCUCGGCAAAAUUAAUGCAUCUCAAGACAGGAACAAGUGGGCAUUUGCUGCGGAGCCUUAAACACUACAUUUGAAAACGUAAAUUUCAUCCUCAAGGUCCGAAUUUCCCCUAAGGGUCUUGUUUAUCACAACGGCCACACUCUCCAGUCACCACCCACCUAAGCUAAGUGUUAAUACAAGCAAGUAAGUACAAAUUUAUUUGUGCUAGUAAAUUUAAGCUCUUCUUCUGAUAUAUUUGUGGAUUAAAAAUAAAAUCACAAUGACAACGCAAAACUAUCUUCACAUACUAAUGAAAAAACUAGGAGAGGAGGGAAGGGGGAUGGGGUGACUGGAUGACGGGCACUAAGGAGGACACUGGAUGGGAUGAGCACCGGGGAUUAUACUAUAAGUUGGCAAAUUGAAUUUAAAUAAAAUAUUUUUUAAAAAGUAAAAAGCAAACCCCCAGAAAAGAAAAGAAAAAACUACAUAUCAAAAAUUUGAAGUUGCAAGGAAGUGGUGAUUUCUAUCCUUAACCACUUACAACAGAGAAUAAGAGAAGCUAAAAUGGUCCAACUUUGAACUUAAGAAAUGAACAACGCAGUGAGGAUGUGUCCUGGGAGGCUCAGUGGUUGAGCAUCUGGCCUCGGCUCAUGUCCCGGGAUCCAGGGAUCGAGUCCCACAUCGGGCUCCCUGCUCCACAGGGAAUCUGCUCCUCCCUCUGCCUCUGCCUCUCCCCACUACUGAUGACCUCUCUCUCUCUCUUGCAAAUGAAUGCAUAAAAAAGUCUUAAAAAAAUAAUUCAAGAUGACCAAGGUAGGUUUAAUGCAGGAUUGCAAAGAAUGCUUGAAAUUAGAAAAUGUAUUAAAAGAGUAUCACUUUAGGAACAGAUGAAAUGGGAAAAUCACCUGAUUAUUUCAAGAAAAAAGCUUUUGAAAAAAAUUUAACACAAAUUCAUGAAAAACUUCUCAUAAGUAGGGCUAGAAGAGGAUUAGCUUAACCUGGUAACGAUUGUCUGUAAAAAACCUACCGCGCAUUGAAAGAGGGCAACAUUCGCAUUCCCUAUAACAUCAGAAACAAUAUAUAGAUAUUGACUUUCACCUUUUAUUCAAUGAUGGAAUAAGACAUACUUAUUUUUUUUUAAUUUUUUAAAAAUUUAUUCACAAUAAACAUAGACACAGAGAGAGAGGCAAAGACACAGGCAGAGGGAGGAAGCAGGCUCCAUGCGGGGAACCCAAUGCAGGACUCGAUCCCAGGACCCCGGGGCAGAUGCUCAGCCACUGAGCACCCAAGGUCCCCACAACUCUCCUUUUUCCCAGAGUAUUUCUAACUGGUCUUGAGAAGUUUUUGUUUAUGUAUAUUUCAACUUGUCCAGUUUAGGAAGAAAACCAGUCAUAAUUGUUAUGGAAAUAACAUUAAAUUGAAAAAUCUAUGUUAGAACAGACAUUUCAAUGCUGUUUAGAGUCGUCACGUCUGAGAACGAGAGGUGUCUUUACAAUUGUUCGGGGUUGCUGUUGUGUCUCUCAGAAGCGUACUAAGUUUUCGUCCUUUAGAUUUUGCACAUUUGGGGGCAGAUUUAAUUCCAAGGAUAAGUCUUCUUUCCCCCAAUCGUACGUGAGGUUUUCUGUCCCAUUAUGCCCUCUAGGUGGCUCUUG
rnacentral:lncRNA from 1 species